UAGUGGAGUUAGUCACUCCUGCCGGUUCCUCUGUUCCUGGCAAAGAGAGAGUUCCCUUGACCAACACCUGGAUUUAAACAUUUCACUAAUGGCAAAAUAACUCAUUCUCAGCCUUCGUUGCCCCCAGGGUUUGUGAAGGCUCCAGGCUGAGCCACACAUGGAGGACACCCACCCUGGAGCCUUCCAAAUCUGCAAUGAACUUCGUUGACAGCUUGCCAGCCUCCUCAUCCUCAUCCUCAGUUCCAAUCAGCCCUUUCUAGAGUCUCUAUCCAGCUUCUUUAUGGAUUCCAAAGGCAGAGGAAGCCAAGUCCUGGAGAUUCAAGUAAAGUAUGACAUGAGCUCAGUAGAAUUUUAUUCCUAUUAAUAAAAGACACUGCAUCACAAGAGUAGAGUGGGGAGAGGAGACACGCUUCUAUUCUGCAUGUGUCAAAACAGGAUUUAGAGUCCUUUAACGCAGUGAGAAAGGACCAAGUGCUCUGUCAAGCAGUUUUUCAGGAACUGAAAAUCAACUCCUCGUCCAGUUCAGGCCAGUUAAGACCACUAACUCAUCAACCAGGCCUGCUCAGAUGACCAAUAGGUGAUCCUUUGACAUCAAGGAGCUGAAAACUCCACCCUCAGAUCAUGGUAAUGCUGCCAUUUUGUGAACAUGCAUCCUAUGAAGAGCUAUGAAGCUUGACUAUGCUUGCGCAGAUCAUCAAUUACCUCACUUCUCCUUACCUCCAACCAUCUAUUCCCACACUUCAGACUACCCUGCCACCUUAUCCCAUAAAUACCCCUAAUUCCCAUUUUUCAGAGAGGUGGAUUUGAGAUUCCUUCUCCUAUCUCCUCACUUGGCUGCUUUAUGAAUAAAAACUCUUUCUC